AUGGCAGCUCGUAUGGACAUUGCCUCUGGUGAGGUGGGCCAAGCAAGAGGGGCUGGCUUCAAACCUGUGCCCGGCCCCAAACCUCGCCUGACUCCCAAACCCUUCUCACUGCAGAGGAACACCACCCUACGCUCCAUCCUAGCCCCAAAGACACUCACAAGGACUCCACAGCCGUCUCAGACCACUUCCACUACACCCACUACCUCCAGAAAACCGGAGCCUAAUCAGCCUAUCAGUGGCCCUGUGUCUGACUCAAGCGGAGCUGUGAAACACGUUACAGAGAGCACCAUGACACCUGAACCGACCAAUGCUCUCAAAGCUCCUUCAGCCACAACACCCCACACUGACUCAACCCACACCACUGAACAAAACCACGCUGCUCUUUCCACAUCCAGCUCCCUUACUGCCCCAACAUCUGAGCCACCGGCUAGUACCAUAUCUGACCGAACUGGAACCUCGGAGGCAAAUCAAGUCAGUGAAUCUGAACUGGAUGAACAUGGCAACUCUGAUUCAGGCCACUCCGCUACUGGAACUGAGGCUGUACCAUUACCAUCGGUCACCUCUGCUCCCCUUCAACCCCAGUCUGAAGACACUGUGAGCGAGCUCACCUCUGCGAUCGUCAGAUGUCACGCCGUGGAGGAUCAGACAGCCCGCUGGGGAGGAUGCAGGAAGCGGCUGUCCAUGGGGCUCACCUCCAGGUUUGAGUCGGCCGGCCUCUCGUGCCCCUCACAGCCACCAGCCAAAGAAAACAACCAGAAGCAGGAACAGGCGACCAAGAGAGAGACUGCAGUCCUCAAAGUGUCGGUCCUCAAGACCAAGGAGGAAGAGAAGAUAACAGAUUCACCAGAGACACCGUCUGACCCGGAGCGCAGACUCAAGCACUCAGCACCGCUGAAGGAAGAGAGGUUUGGAGAAGGGGUAAAGGAGACAGGAGAAGAGAAAGUGUUCAGCAUACAACGGAGGAUCAGUUUGCUGCUGGACUCCUCCUCGAGGCCAGAGCCUCUGACCAAGAGGGAGGAAGUUCCUGGUCCAAUUAAACAAGCAGACGGUUCUGGGGGUGUGAAACAGCGAAUUAAAGACUGGGCAUUAGACACACCUCCUGUUCAGGCAUCCAAUCAGAGGGUGGAUGUUGCCCCUCAACCAAUCCCUGGCAGAGUUCACUGUGUGUUGAGUGUCACUGGGGGGUCAUUGGCGACGAGCGAAAGCGUUCAGCUAGCUCCCCGAGAGGACAAGGCUUCCACCCUAUGUCGCUCAGGACGUUCUGGGAUAAAGGUUAAUAGUGAGGAGAUAGAAGAUGAGGAAGAGGAGGGAGAGGAGAAGGGGGCCCAGGUGCCACUCUACAAACCAGUAGGAAGACUUCUUCGGAUGGAAGAUGGAGGGAAAAAACAAGAGCUAGUGAUUGAUCAAAUAGAGAAAGAUAUGGAGACCAAGGUGCAAGAGGAGGAAAAACUUAAACAGCUGGAGCUAGAAGAGAGACAAGCAGAGAAGGAGAGGGAGAAAGAGAGGAAACAAGAAGUUGAGUUAGAGAUAGAAAGACAAACAAAAGUGGAAAAAGAAAAGGAAAGGGAGAGACGGAGCGAGAAAGAAGAGAGAAAGAUGAAAGAAGAGGGGAGAGAAAGACAAAGAGAAAUAGAGAGGGAACGGGAUAUACAGAGACAGAGGGAGGAGAGAGAGAGGGAGAGAAAGAGGAAGGAAGAGGAUAGGGAGAGAGAAAGACAAAGAGGGGAGGAGUGGGAUAGGGAGAGACAGAGAGAGGACGAAGAGAGGGAGAACACGAGGAAAGAAGUAGAGAAGGAGAGAGAAAGACAGAUAGAACUUGAGAGGGAAAAGGAGAUACUGAGAGAGGAAGAAGAGAGGGAGAGGAGGAAAGAAGAGGAUAGGGAGAGAGAAAGACAAAGAGGGGAGGAGCGGGAUAGGGAGAGACAGAGAGAGGACGAAGAGAGGGAGAACACGAGGAAAGAAGUAGAGAAGGAGAGAGAAAGACAGAACUUGAGAGGGAAAAGGAGAUACUGA
ensembl:lncRNA